GUCAUUUUCGCAUUAUUAUUUUAGUUUAUGAGUUUACAUAGCGAAUUUGUAUAAAUCGUCGAAGCGGAAUGUAUUGAUAUUAAAUAUAAAUUAUUGAUACUUGAUUGAUUUCGUGUUUCCAAUUUUCCAAAGGUGACAAAGGACGAUAAAAAAUAUUCGUAGAUUUGUCAGCUGCCAAAUUAUCAACUUUUGACUGAAGACUGAAGAGCGACUUGAUCUAUCUAUGUACCGACUCUGUUUUGUAAAGUGAAUUUUGCGAUGUAGUUAGCGAUUAUUUUUUUUAGAUUGGUGAGAAGCUUUGGACAUCUUCGAAAUAUUGUGGCCAUCAUCGACCUCCGAAACAAACUUGUUCAACGAUGCUUUUAUGAAAAUGAAAAAUGUGCUUGUGUAUGCUGCUAUCCAUGAGUUUCCUGAUUUAUUUUUGUACGCUAUCAUCUAGUUCUAGUUUCUGGUUUAGUUUGAGACGUUUGAGUUGUCGUAAUCGUAACUGGGUGAUUAUGAGCACUUGGGUGAGAGAUAAAUAUAUACUUGGUUAAUUCUUUGGGUAUUAGGUACUACAGAGAAGUUGUAUUUAUUUAUUCUUCCUUCAAAUAAAUGAAAUAAAAUUCAUAAAUUACUUCAA